rnacentral:rRNA from 1 species
UACGUAGGGGGCGAGCGUUGUCCGGAAUCAUUGGGCGUAAAGCGCGUGUAGGCGGCUCGAUAAGUCCGGUGUGAAACCUUGGGGCUCAACCCCAAGCCUGCACUGGAUACUGCCGAGCUAGAGUCCGGGAGGGGAGAGCGGAAUUCCUAGUGUAGCGGUGAAAUGCGCAGAUAUUAGGAAGAACACCGGUGGCGAAGGCGGCUCUCUGGAACGGUACUGACGCUGAGACGCAAAAGCGUGGGGAGCGAACAGG